UAUUUGGUUGAGAGUGUUAAAGUUUAAUGAAUAUUUUUGUUUUAUUUGGUAAUUAUUGUCCAAUCAUGAGGUAAUUAGGUUUAAAAGAUUUAUGUCGUAAAUUACUCUUUAUCUGUAUUUUUAGUUUUGUAAAUAAUCUAUACUUAGUAUUUUAUACAUGUGUCUAAAUAUUCAAUAUGAUGGAAGUUAAAGUUUAACUCCAAACCAAACAUGGCCCGAAUCAACGGACGUACACGGCCU
rnacentral:lncRNA from 1 species